rnacentral:rRNA from 1 species
GACGAACGCUGGCGGCGUGCUUAACACAUGCAAGUCGAACGGAAAGGCCCUGCUUUUGUGGGGUGCUCGAGUGGCGAACGGGUGAGUAACACGUGAGUAACCUGCCCUUGACUUUGGGAUAACUUCAGGAAACUGGGGCUAAUACCGGAUAGGAGCUCCUGCUGCAUGGUGGGGGUUGGAAAGUUUCGGCGGUUGGGGAUGGACUCGCGGCUUAUCAGCUUGUUGGUGGGGUAGUGGCUUACCAAGGCUUUGACGGGUAGCCGGCCUGAGAGGGUGACCGGCCACAUUGGGACUGAGAUACGGCCCAGACUCCUACGGGAGGUAGCAGUGGGGAAUAUUGCACAAUGGGCGGAAGCCUGAUGCAGCAACGCCGCGUGCGGGAAGACGGCCUUCGGGUUGUAAACCGCUUUCGCCUGUGACGAAGCGUGAGUGACGGUAAUGGGUAAAGAAGCACCGGCUAACUACGUG